GACGAACGCUGGCGGCGUGCCUAAUACAUGCAAGUUGAGCGCUGAAGGUUGGUACUUGUACCGACUGGAUGAGCAGCGAACGGGUGAGUAACGCGUGGGUAAUCUGCCUUUGAGCGGGGGACAACAUUUGGAAACGAAUGCUAAUACCGCAUAAAAACUUUAAACACAAGUUUUAAGUUUGAAAGAUGCAAUUGCAUCACUCAAAGAUGAUCCCGCGUUGUAUUAGCUAGUUGGUGAGGUAAAGGCUCACCAAGGCGAUGAUACAUAGCCGACCUGAGAGGGGGAUCGGCCACAUUGGGACUGAGACACGGCCCAAACUCCUACGGGAGGCAGCAGUAGGGAAUCUUCGGCAAUGGACGAAAGUCUGACCGAGCAACGCCGCGUGAGGGAAGAAGGUUUUCGGAUCGUAAAACUCUGUUGGUAGAGAAGAACGUUGGUGAGAGUGGAAAGCUCAUCAAGUGACGGUAACUACCCAGAAAGGGACGGCUAACUACGUG
rnacentral:rRNA from 1 species